ACGAUGAAGCCCUUCGGGGUGGAUUAGUGGCGAACGGGUGAGUAACACGUGGGCAAUCUGCCCUUCACUCUGGGACAAGCCCUGGAAACGGGGUCUAAUACCGGAUAUCACUCCUGCCUGCAUGGGCGGGGGUUGAAAGCUCCGGCGGUGAAGGAUGAGCCCGCGGCCUAUCAGCUUGUUGGUGGGGUAAUGGCCCACCAAGGCGACGACGGGUAGCCGGCCUGAGAGGGCGACCGGCCACACUGGGACUGAGACACGGCCCAGACUCCUACGGGAGGCAGCUUUGGGGAAUAUUGCACAAUGGGCGAAAGCCUGAUGCAGCGAC
rnacentral:rRNA from 1 species